rnacentral:rRNA from 1 species
GACGAACGCUGGCGGCGUGCUUAACACAUGCAAGUCGAACGGAAAGGCCCCUUUGGGGGUCCUCGAGUGGCGGACGGGUGAGUAACGCGUGAGUAACCUGCCCUUGCCUUCGGGAUAACUUCAGGAAACUGGGGCUAAUACCGGAUAGGAAUCCUUGCUGCAUGGUGGGGGUUGGAAAGCUUCGGCGGUUUUGGGUGGACUCGCGGGUUAUAAGCUUGUUGGUGGGGUAGUGGCUUACCAAGGCUCUGACGGGUAGCCGGCCUGUGAGGGUGACCGGCCACACUGGGACUGAGAGACGGCCCAGACUCCUACGGGAGGCAGCAGGGGGGAAGAUUGCACAAUGGGCGGAAGCCUGAUGCAGCAACGCCGCGUGCGGGAUGACGGCCUUCGGGUUGAAAAACGGUUUCAGCAGGGGCGAAGCUUGUGGUGACGGUACCUGCAGAAGAAGCACCGGCUAACUACGUG